rnacentral:lncRNA from 1 species
AUUACCACCUUUUGUUUUAACCAUUGUCUGCAUACAUAGUCAGUUAAAGCUCGUUAGUAUUGGUGUUAGAAGAAGCAGUACAGAAAAGCAGAUGAACCAUUGACAGUGCUUGAAAAAGUUACAGACCGCUGAUAGUGGAUAAAGGAGCGCGGUCGUAGAAUUAGCACCGCUGAUCAUAGAAAAUGCAGGGCGGCCGUGGAGGUAUAGGAAUAAGACUACCCACCCUCUAAUUAUAUGGUACUGCUGAGCGCGGAAAAUUAGGCGCGACCGCAGAGGUUGCACCGCUGUUCGCGGAAAAUCAAUCGCGGCCGCGGACCCAUAUUAUUUGCUUCUCUGACCCUGAGUACUGUUGAUUGCGAGAAAUGCAGUGCGGCCGCGAAGGUUGUGACGUUGUCAGCGGAAUUUGCCACCGCUAACCGCGGUUUUCAAAGAUUCCAAACUCAAGUUUUUUCGCGGAAAAACAUCCGCCGCAGCGGAAUUUAAAAACGACCUGAGUAGCCCUAGGGUUUCUUUUUUCAUGCAUUUAGCGGAUAGAAUCUACAUUGUUAACCCCACUACGUAUUCAUUAAUCAAUCCUAACUAUCUAAGCCUAAUUUAAUUACCCUAAUGAGCCCUAAGUCAAAAUUAAAAGAAAAGAAGAAGAAGAAGUAAAAAACUAACAAAUAAAAGAAAAACAAGUAGAAAUUAAAGAAUAAUGAAUGAGUGAAAUUACCAGUUGUGUAAUGAGUGAUGAAACUGGACAUUAAUUUUGAGUUUGUGCAGAUUAGGGCUCAGAUGAACAGCGAAAAGUUUUACUUUGAGAGAGAAAAUAUCGAAAAAGAGUAAAAGGCCUCAUGAUCUCCUAUUUAUAGAAAACACCCUAGGACCCACAACACUCACCUAGCGUGGCCGCGGAAAUUCACCGUGGUCCGCGCUGUUGACGAACAGAAGGGCUGCAUAUUUGAAACCUCCGCGGAGAGCGGAAUAUGGCACGCGACUGCGGAAAGGCACUGCUGACUGCAAAAAUAUGCCUCGCGGACGCGGAUGAAACUUCAGAGAAGUCUCAUUUUGGAUUUUUCAAUCCCGCGUCCGCCAUCAGAUUACGCCUACGCGAUAUGGCCACCGUUGACUGCGGAAAAUGGUGCGCUGUCAGCGAUCCAACUUCAGACUAUUGCAAAAAAAAAAAUUCAUCUUAGUCCUGCACUGCAUCAAACAUUCCUACACACAUCUUACAACUAGUUAGUCAAAAACAAAUCCUACUCUAAGAAGAAAAGUCAAAAGAAGAAAAACACAUGGGUUGCCUCCCAUGAAGCGCCUGAUUUAACGUCGCGACACGACGCAUGUUACCAUCAAUCAUUUGGGAUGGAUCAUUGCCACCACGUGGCUGUCAUAAAACUUGCCAAGAUAUUGCUUCACACUGUGCCCAUUAACUCUGAAGAUUUCGCCAUUUUUGUUUUUCAAAUCAAGAGCACCAGACGGAAUUACAAACACCACCUCAAAAGGUCCACUCCAUUUGACUUGAGCUUUCCCGGGAACAGUCGUAAUCAGGAGUUGAAUAAAAGAACCAAAUCACCUUUCUUGAAUUCCUUGCUACGAGCAUACUUGUCAUGUAAGUACUUCAUCUUGUCCUAAUAUAAGGAUGAGCUAGAAUAGGCAUGAAAGAGGAACUCAUCAAGUUCAUUGAGUUGCUCCACCCGAAGAUUUACUGCAACAUCCCAUUCAAGAUUUAACUUUCUCAAAGCCCACAUGGCCUUGUGCUCUAACUAAACCGGUAGAUGGAAAGCUUUCCCAAACACCAACCGGUACGGAUACAUACCAAUCGGAGUCUUGUAAGCAGUCCUGUAAGCCCACAAAGCAUCACCCAGUUUCUUUGACCAGUCAGUCCUAUUUGCAUUGACAGUCUUUGACAAUAUGCUCUUAAUCUCCCUGUUGGAGACCUCAACUUGCCCACUAGCCUGAGGAUGGUAAGGGGUUGAAACCUUGUGAUUGAUACCAUACUUUGCAAGCAAAGUUGUUUACCUUGAAAAUGGUAAUAACAAUUAGAUUUGAUUUUGUGGUUCUAAAAAUACGUGAUUUAUUUUUAUAAUGGUUGUUAGGCAAUAGAUGCUAAGUGUGAGAUUAGAAAAUAAUAUAAGAGCUUAAAGAUAGACUGUUAUGCAAACCGAGUGACUGAGAAUCAGGGCCUCGAGCCAGACUAUACGGGGCCUCGGGGUCGAGCUAGAGCCUUAGGCUGGGGCCGAUCGAUGGGAUAAUAACAAUUUCAAAAGCUUUGAUGAGUGCUCUUUAUGAUCAAUGAUGAGUAAUAAAUGAAGAACAAUUAAUGAAACGCAAUAAAUGUAAGCAAUGAAUCAAAAUGGAGACAAUAGAGUGUUUAAGUUAGAUAGCAGAGAAUGUUCUUGUUCUUGUAUUGAACGUCACAUGUGCAAAAAAUAACAAGGGUCCCUUUUAUAUAGGAGGGGGAAUCCCAACAUAGUACAUAUGCAUUUAUUAUAAAGAUAUGCGACUGGUAUAGCCAUUUAAUACCACGAUACGGGCUUGCACUAGCCUAAUAGGCUUGAUCAGCUUUAAUUGCGUGCCUUGGGAAUCUCCCACUCGUUCAUCAUAGCCGCCGAUUUAUACUGCCCCAAGGUCGACUUUGACAUCAUUCUCCUCGAGCUUCUCACAAUGACAUCAUGCUUAUGACAUAAGAUUUUGUGAUAACUGAGACAUCCCAUCGGUUCAUCUUUCCAGAAGCAUUCAGUGCACCACCGAUUUAUUUUCCCAAAGGCGAUGAUAUCGCCACCGAUCCGUUUCCCGAAAAGCAUUGAUUAAGCCUCUCGAUACAUUUCCCAAAGGCGUUAAUUGUGUCGUUGCUUACGCUACUAGCUUUCCAUAAAUAGAAGGUUAGUUGAACCAAGAUUUCACCCAGUCAUUCUUCUACAGCCUUUAACCCUUUUCUUCUCUUCAUCCUCAUCAAAAUUCUGAUUUCCAUGGUUCAUACUCGUGACUGUAAGGUCACGCGGCAACAGUUUUGCUAGUUAUGCCAUGGCUCUUUUUUAGAGCUUUUGCCCACUGAGUGAAACCACACUAGGUUGUUGUUGUUGUUAUUGGCCCAAAAUAAUGAGAGAGGGAUCUUAAAUUAUCCCCGUAUCAGAGGAUAUGUGGACCAUAAAUUGCUGCUCAUCUCUCUUAACUUCAAGCUAGUGUGACACUUCACUCAUUUUACUUUCCAUGGAGUGAGGUGGUGCCAUCUACUAACUUUUGCAUCUCACACUAGUGCAAUGUCUCAAGAAGUGGCUUCCUAAUAGUAGUGCUGGCGAGACCCAUACUCGCCAAUUUUUUCACCAAGCCACAAUUUUCCUUGCUUGUUAAAAGUUUUUGCUCUUUGAUAGGCUACAACCUCUUCCUUAUCCAUUGCUGCUUCAGAGGAGAUUCUCGAAGACGUUGUUUAGAGCGUCGAAACGGGGUCCCCGAGUAAACGGUUCUCGCGGAUGUUGCUCCCAAUGAUGUAUCUCCGAGAGUAGACUAGGCUUUUAGACUGUUGUUUUUUGCUUCUUUGUUUCUGUGUAAGAACCCUUCGUGGGAUUUUUGUAAUCGUCUUUUAUCAAUAUAAAGGUUGCUUUGAUUUGCCUUUGGCUUGUGUUGAACUUUUAUUUUACUUUUGAUUGGCCCGAACACCAGAACCGGGCAUCGAAAUCCUUCUGGAUCUCGAUUAGUCAAUAUGAUAUUCCUCGAGAUCCUUUGUCAUCCCUCGGACUAAGCCCCAGUUAAUCUGGUGCAAACUUAGGCCGUCGGGACUUCUGAGUUCUAGUUGAGCGAAGAAGGGUCCCGAUUUUCUUUGAAAUAGAGGUUAGCCCUUUUAGGCCUUGUCACUAGUCCUUGAGUGAGAGUUUGCUUGAUCAUCUGGAAAUAAAGAUAGCCCUUAGACUUCCACAGAUAGUUCCCGAGUGAAAGUUUGCUUGAACUCGGGUGGCCUCGAAAACUUGCUUUUGAACUUGAAAUGAAGAUAGCCCUAAUACAUUAUAGAUAGCCCCUGAACGAGGAUACACUCAAACUCGGAUGGCCCCGGGGCUUAAAGUAAUCGAGAGAGGGCUUAAAUUGAUCUGAAGGCAAAGAUAGCCCUGGGGCUUUAAUAAUUACCCUAGAGUGAGAACUGACUCGGAUCGGGUGAAUGACCUACAUUUGUAAUAGUAGAGAUCCUCGAGAUUGGGUACCAUCUCGAGACUAGGUUUAUAUGGAUAGCUCCUAAGAGCUCAUAGUUAUAGUGAUAAAGAUCCUCGAGAUCGGGCACCGUCUCAAGGCUAGAUUGAUGCCGAUAGCUCCUUAGAGCCUAAUUUUAUUUUGAUAGAGAUCCUCGAGAUCGGGCACCAUCUCGAGGCUAGAUUGGCACUGAUGGCUCCUUAGAGCGCAACGUUAUGGUAAUUGAGAUCCUCGAGAUCAGGCACCAUCUCGAGGCUAGGUUGAUAUAGGAAUCUUUGACCCCUCGAACGUUGUACGACAACGUCAUUCAUUAUGACAUGGUCAUAAAGCGACCGAGAUGGUCCCGCCGUUACACUUCCCCGAAAGUGAUAAUGGCCUAGUUAGAAUUAAUUGGCCUUUAGAGUAGGCGGAUAGUCACUGCUUGCUCUAUAUAUGAGUUUGUUCUCCCCUUAUUUAAGGGUUCCUCUACUUUGAGCAGCUAUCCUUUUUAUAGAGUUCUCCUUCCUGCGUCAGUUCUUUCAUCACUUUAAUUUAGAGUUUUCGCCUAAGUUUUCAUUUCCCUUCUCCUGCUUCACCAUAGUUAUGGCUUCUAUGCCAAAAUCCGCUCACUAAGAAGAGGAGAGUUUUGCCUCUACUUCCCGCUUGGUCAGUGGUACACCUCCAACAUUCGGUGAGCUAACCUCGAGAUGUUUUGCCUCGAGGAGUGACCUUUUGUUAGAGAGACCUCCUAAUGUUGAGGGCCAUUGGGAGCAUGCAUCGAGGUUUGCUUCAUCAAUAGGAGACGAACACCUCGAGGCAGUGAGGAGAGACUACGGAUGGGGAGAAAAGGUGGUACUGCAGGUACCUUCCCCGGAAGAGAACACCAUGGCUCAUGUAGAGGGGUUUUUGAAUGUAUACAUGUACCCCUUCACGUUGGGCCCUCUUAAUAAAGUCGUACUUGACUUCUAUCAAAGAUAUCGGGCUACCCUGGCACAGGUUCACCCGUCGUUCUGGAGGACAGUGUUGAUGAUGAGGUCCUUUGCGGAGGAAGUCGAGCUUGAGUUCACCCUUAGCCAUCUCAUCAGAUUGUACCGGCCCUUUCAUUACCGAGGACUGAUAGCCUUACGAUGUCGAUCCACCAGUCCCUUUGUUGCCGAUGAUGAAGAAAUUGGGGAUCGAGGGUGGAUGAGUCGAUUUGUCUGAGUGCGGACUAUCGAUAUUAUCCCCGUGGAGUUCCUGAGAAAUGGAAUUUUACCCGUAAGUGGCACGCUUGUGUUUUUAUCAUUUUUGUUCAUGGUGGAUGCGGAAUCCGUAAAGAUGUUUUCCUCUUCUUUUUUAUAGCAAUCACAUGGAUACCAUACGAGGUCCCCGACUUGGCGGAUUAGACCUGAAAGCUGGCAGCUCGCUCGACCUACGGUGGGCAUAAGUGACGAGACCUGUCGAAGGGUAGAUGGGAGGCAAAACCCCAUGGUACAUGUUGUGUGGUUUAUUCCUAUUGAAAGGUACUUUCUUUUGUGCGUAUCGACAUCUUCACCGCAUGUAUUGGAGAAUUUCCUGAGAUGGGACCGUGCCCCCUUGGGGAGGAGGAAGGGUCGGUAGCUUCGGGGCCGAGGAACAAUAACAAGCGGAAGGAAUCCUCGAAGGGCGAAGGUGCUCAUAGUGAUACAAGCCCUACCCGGAGGCUCAAAAAAGAUGUAUCGACUGAGCUUGCAGCACCUGGGGCUUCUAGCCUCAGAAGAAUGGCUCCUCCUUUGCCGCCAUCUUCUUUUCCCGUCAAAGGUACUUCGAGGGAUACAAGUGUUAUAUUGUCGUCUUCAUAUCAUGUCGAAGGUACUUCGAGGGAUACAGGUUUUCUGUCAUCGUUCUCACCUCUUGUCGAAGUUACUUCGAGAGGUGCUCGAGGCCAGGGGCCACCUACAUCAAGCGGGGUUUCGAGCAACCAUGUCCCCACCAAGACCAGUUCAAUUGGGACCGUUGAGACGAGGCCAGUAGAUGUACGCUCAGCCUUUGAGGAGGCUCAAUGGCUUUGUUCUGUGGUGAGCUUUGGUUGACUUUGUUGGUUUUUUUAUUUUACAUUUUCUUUUUCUCAUUGAGCUUCUUUUCCAUAGGCCUUUGGCAAACUCAAGUCCGAGUUGCUCCGCUGUGAAGCCAGGUUGCAGAAAGCCUUGAACGGGGAGAAAUCCCUCAGGCUUCUUUGUGACGAAAGGGCAAAAGAGUUGUUACACCUUCGGUAUGAGAUGAGUCGAAGCCUGAACUAUGAAGGUUGCCUCGAUAAACAGGUAACCUUUGUUUCGAGGGGGUGUGUGCUUUCUAUCCUAUCUUCGGAGACUAACAUUUUGGUAUUUCAGUUGCAGAGAAAGACAGAGGACCUGGAAUGACUUUGGGGCGAAGUUGGCCAGGCCAAGUAUGAGUGUAAUGAGCUAAAGGCUCAUAUAGAUACCCAAGUUGUGGCUAAGAAGAAUGCUUUGGCCAAGGAUUCUGCCUUCGAGGUGCAACUCCGGAACUCUCGUGAAAAUAGCUUGGUCCAGACGAGUAGGAUUGCAAGUCUCGAGUCUGACCUCUUGAAGGUGAAGGCCGAGCUCAUGGACGCUCGAGCUGGAGCUGAAGAGAUUCGAACUAAGGCUGAUGAGAAAGUAGCCAUCUAUUUCAAGGGCGUUGCCGACGCCCAAGCUGAGUUGAGAGGGGCUUCCGAUCGGGAGAGCAUAAGUAAUGAAUAUGCUCGGUGCAGAUCCCAGAGGAAAACCCUCAAGGAGAUCCACGCUAGGGGCUUCGAUCUCUGGGAAGAGAUAGAGCAGGCCAAGGCGGAUGAACACGAUGCCAAGUUCCUCGUUUCUGAUUCCGAAGAUAAUGAGGAAAGAGUCGACUGAGCCAUAGUCCCCGAGGGGAAAGUAGAGUAAGCUUUUCUUAUCUAAUUCUGUGUAUAGGGCUCUUAGAGAGCAUUGUAAAUGGAACUUUGUAUUUUUUCCUUCUGGUUUUCUCCUUUCAUGAAUUUAUCUAUGCUUGAGUAUGUCUUUCUUUGUCCCGAAUUUUGACGUUUGUCAAUGAUUUUGGCCAGAUGAAUUGGACUUCAAGGUAAAACCCUUAGGUUUACAAAUUGACCCUAAGGCUUGUCAGGCUGGCUCGUAGGCUCUUACGCAUUUGCCCUUAGGCACUUUUUAGUUAACCGCUUUCGGGCUCCAUUUUCGGGUCGGAUUUCGACUCGAGCUCAUUAGCCCUUGGGUUUUGAAUUUUAGGCUGGCUCUCAGGCUCUUACGCAUUGGGUCGGCACAACCUUUUAAUUUAAGUUGGUGAUAGUGGCUCUUAUGCAUUGGGUCGGUACGACCUUUUGAUUUAAGCUAGCGACAGUGGCUCUUACGCAUUGAGUUGGUACGACCUUUUGAUUUAAGCUGGCGAUAGUGACUCUUACGCAUAGGGUCGAUACGACCUUUUGAUUUAAGCUUACAAUAGUGGCUCUUAUGCGUAGGGUCGAUACGACCUCUAAUAUAGGCUUUAUUUUUCCCUCGCUAAAGACUUUUUGAAGUUUUUAUGUUUGCCCAACUCUUCAACGGUUCGAUAAGAACCUCGAUUGUGAGUCGUUAUGUAAUGAUAAAUGAGCACCUCGGGAGGUUUUGCUCAAUGGCUGAAUUGUUUCGAAGCCUUUUUAUUGGUUGGAGCUGAUAUGAUCAAAGCUCUUUUGCUUAUAUCGUGGGUAGCCUGAUUAACCGGUUCUUUUUGAAGUAUUUCGAAGUAAUUGAAGGCCUGUGAUUUUAUAGUGACAGUCAGGCAUCCCCAAGUUGCGUUAGUUUGGCCAGAGCCUUGUGACCGGCGUCAUUGUGUUUGGCCAUAGCCUUUUAGUCCUUGAGUGAAGUAGCUUCGGCGUCUAUAUCAAGGGUAUGCCCUUUUAGGGGUCUUACAAAUUCGAAUAUAUAGCAUAGACUUUAGGAUCGGGAUUAUGCCUUUUGUAAGGUCUUAUAAAUUUGAACAUGCCUUACUUUGAGGUCUUACAGAUAGGUUAUGUCACACCUCCUUUUGCCUACCCCGAAGGGGUAUAAGGGAGUUUUUUCCAAUUUAAGUGACAAUCGAAACAAGAUUUAUUUAUUUAUUAUUCAGAGUCGCCACUUGGGAUAAUUUAUGGUGUCCCAAGUCACCGGUUUAAAUCUCAAAUCGAGGAAAGAUUGACUCUGUUUUAUAGUCCGCGAACACAGAAAUUCGGGUAAGGAAUUCUAUUAACCCGAAAGAAGGUGUUAGGCAUUCCCGGGUUUCGUGGUUCUAGCACGGUCGCUCAACUAUUAUUAUUGGCCUAAUUAUCUGAUUAAUUACACAUUUUUAACCUACGUGCAUUUUUUAACUUUCUAACCGCUUUUAUUUAUUUAAGGAAUUAUUUCAAGGUUAUUUAAAACACAUCGCAAACCACGCUACAUGAAAUGCACCCGUAGUCCGUGACACGUUUUAUUUAAUCUAACAAUAUUGGAAAUUGAAGUCGGGUCACAUGAAAUGCACACCCGAAUUUAGAUUUAUGUAUCAUGACCAUGUCACGGGAACCGUACUCAUGGCCACAAUAAUUUAUUAAUCGCACCUAAAGCAAGCUACGAAAAACAAUCACUGCAACUAAAGAAGAAUCAUGUCAAACUUGAUAUAAGUGAACAAUUACUGCAAAUCCAAACUAGAAUAAAGUAAAUCAUCGUAAGGCAAGGGCAUGGUUUGUCAUUUUUAUUAAACCAUAUGCAAACAUUCUACUACAAAAAGUAUUAUGACUACAAAAACUAAUUAUAAACUUCACCCAAAAUCAAAGAGCACAUGACAUCGUAGAAAGUCUUUUCUUCGUAGUGUAUUUAAUAUAUAUCCAAAAUCAGUUGGUUUCUUAACGCACACUUAACAUUGUAUCUUUAUGAUGUCAAAUAUUAUCUAACAGAUCCGUGCAAUUCAAAAUUAAAAUGGAAUUACCAAUCAAUCAACAAAUCAAACCAGAACUCACCUCGCAAAAAAUGAACCGAAAAUCCAAAGUAAGAGCAGAUUCAAAUAGAACCGACUUUGAUUUUGGAACUCUGCUUGUAUGUGCUUUAUAUAGUUGAAUUUGAUCUAAAAUUACAUCAAAUUGAAGAUUAUGGAACUUUCAAACAGAAAAUUUUCACUUGACCAUGGAGGGGACCUCGCCGGCAACCUCGAAACUCGACUGAACUUGGGGUCUUUUUUUUAUUUGACAGCUAAUUUUUGCUACUUUCUUGGCUUAUUUUCGUUGCUGAUUUUCAGCUUUUCACACCAGAAAAUGGGUUGGAACUGGGUGGCUUCUUCAGCUACAUUUGAGGCUAAAUUUUUGGGGUUUGUUUGGAUGGUUUUUCAUUUUUAACUGGGUUCAAAAUGGAGGGGUGUAGGCUGUUCGCGCUUUAGCACUCAAGAAGAUGAAAGGCAGGGUUGUUUGUGUUCUGGCUACUGCUUUUGGUAUUUGGUUCCAAUGGCUGAAGCUUUUUGCUGGAGAUUUUAUGAAGAAGACGACCGGUGGGGGGGGGGGGUCUCUUCUUUUGAGAAUUGCGGCUCACUCUUUAGGCGUUAGAUCCAGCUCUUUUUUUUAAUAUUUUUUUAGCUGAU